AUUGAACGCUGGCGGCAGGCCUAACACAUGCAAGUCGAGCGGCAGCGGAAAGUAGCUUGCUACUUUGCCGGCGAGCGGCGGACGGGUGAGUAAUGUCUGGGAGACUGCCUGAUGGAGGGGGAUAACUACUGGAAACGGUAGCUAAUACCGCAUCACGUCGCAAGACCAAAGAGGGGGACCUUCGGGCCUCUUGCCAUCAGACGUGCCCAGAUGGGAUUAGCUAGUAGGUGGGGUAACGGCUCACCUAGGCGACGAUCCCUAGCUGGUCUGAGAGGAUGACCAGCCACACUGGAACUGAGACACGGUCCAGACUCCUACGGGAGGCAGCAGUGGGGAAUAUUGCACAAUGGGCGCAAGCCUGAUGCAGCCAUGCCGCGUGUAUGAAGAAGGCCUUCGGGUUGUAAAGUACUUUCAGCGGGGAGGAAGGCGUUGAGGUUAAUAACCUCAGCGAUUGACGUUACCCGCAGAAGAAGCACCGGCUAACUCCGUGCCAGCCGCCGCUGUAA
rnacentral:rRNA from 1 species